ACCAGACACAGCUUCCUAAAUCCAGUACCAAUGCCGAAGAUCUGGAGGUUCUUACGCAGGAGCUUCCAUUAUAUAAAAAACAAAGAAUGAGUUGCGCGCCAAGUGUCAAAUAAAUGUAAAUCAUUUUUAAAAGGGUAAGAUAAUUGGAAUAAUUCUAACCAAUGCACUAUAUAAACGUCCCAACUAUAUUGUCCAACUCAGUAUUUCUCCUUGUG